GGAGUUAGCCGGUGCUUCUUCUGUGAGUGAUGUCCUUCCUGCCGGCUAUUAACCCGCAGGCCUUCUUCCUCACUGAAAGUGCUUUACAACCCGAAGGCCUUCUUCACACACGCGGCAUGGCUGGAUCAGGGUUGCCCCCAUUGUCCAAUAUUCCCCACUGCUGCCUCCCGUAGGAGUCUGGGCCGUGUCUCAGUCCCAGUGUGGCUGAUCAUCCUCUCAGACCAGCUACGGAUCGUCGCCUUGGUGAGCCGUUACCUCACCAACCAGCUAAUCCGACAUAGGCUCAUCCGAUAGCGCGAGGCCCGAAGGUCCCCCGNUUUCCCCCGUAGGGCGUAUGCGGUAUUAGCCUGGGUUUCCCCCAGGUUAUCCCCCACUACCGGGCAGAUUCCUAUGCAUUACUCACCCGUCCGCCGCUCGCCACCAGGGAGCAGCUCCCCGUGCUGCCGCUCGACUUGCAUGUGUUAGGCCUGCCGCCAGCGUUCAUCUGAGCCAGAAUCGAACCCUGA
rnacentral:rRNA from 1 species